rnacentral:lncRNA from 1 species
AGUACUCCCUUCUGUGGAACGGGAAUUCGGUAUUAGGAGAUGAGAUGGGAGACAAAUUUAUUUUUUAUCUAUAGUUUUAUAUAUUUUUUAUUAAAUUUUCAACCAUGGAAAUGAUGGAAAUAUGUUCUGGCUGGGCACGGUGGCUCAUGCCUGUAAUCCCAGCACUUUGGGAGGCCAAGGUGGUUGGAUCACGAGGUCAGGAGUUCAAGACCAGCCUGGCCAAGAUGGUGAAACACUGUCUCUACUAAAAAUACAAAAAUUAGCCAGGCGUGGUGGCAUGCGCCUGUAAUCCCAGCUGCCCAGGAGACUGAGGCAGAGAAUGCUUGAACCCAGGAGGCAGAAGUUGCAGUGAGUUGAGAUUGUGCCACUGCACUCCAGCCUGGGCAACAGAGCAAGACUCCGUCUUCAAAAAAAAAAAAAAAGUUCCAUCAUCUUUCCCAUGUGCAUUCCUGAGCUGUAGAAGGCUAGCAGCUUCUUCCCAGACUCCCUGCACCUGGGAUGGAGAAUAAGGUUCUACAAACUGGAUGUGCGUUGAAGGGAGCUAUGGAGUGGGAGGUGGGAGUGGGCGAAUACCAUCCUCCUGCCACUUUGGGCUGUGGUUGCUGGCAAGCAAGGCCACGGAUGUUGAUAGGCAAUUGUGAUGCAGGCCCAGUCACCAGCUUCCUGGGUGCUGCUAUGAGGCCGCACCUCAUAGAGAGAUCGCCAUUAUAUUUCCUGGGAGCUCCGUAUCUCAUGGAGAUAACAGGUCCUUUUUGAUUCUACUUGCUGAUCCCUGGAUUGCAGCUCUCAUGCUGUUUACCUCAAGAGCUUCGCUCACAGCCCCCUAACUCCCUGUAUUCCUGCUUACAGCACAGGCUGUAGCUCCCCAGGCAGGUCAGUGCUAGAAGUUGCUGGGGCAUUCUGGAAUUUGUUCUUGGACACCUACCAGGAGUGCACUCCUCUCACCCUUCCAACAGAUUCUG